rnacentral:lncRNA from 1 species
AAGCCUACACAUGACUCAGUGAGAAAGAAUGGACAGCCCAACAGAUCAACACCCACGGCCAAUGAUACAUCAGAACACACUUCAUCACAGAUGACAGGAGGAAAGUGAAGUGGGAGGUGAAUGAUGUGCAAAGGACCAUGGAAUGUGGAACCUUGCCCAGCCUGCUGCUCAGGAGGCGAUUGCUCAAGGCUGUCUUAUGCAGAGGAGGUCAACAGUUGACCCAUGAACCAUUUAAACUGGAAGGAAGAAUUAACCAAUACCCUGAGAGAUUGACUACAACUACUUUUUCCUGAAAGUUAGAGUGCAGAGUACAGGAGAGGAAGGCCAUUUACUAAUUUUCCUGCUUCCUUCACCAGUCCUCUACCUCUCCAUACCUAAGGUCCUUCACUCAAUAUACUCAAGUCUUCUCUGCUAUGUCUGCAUUCCCACAUGCCACGGCAUAUAAAAGCCUGUGAAGAAAAAACCAACACCUAGAAUUUUUUCCAUCCCUCACCUUUCCUUUGAGAACUCAACAACCCAAGCAACAUGAACCUUUUCCCAAAUACCAUUUAGGAGAAGUCACUGGCAGUUUAAGAAACAGAUUUUUUUAAAAAGUUCCAGGGUGAGACAUCUUCCAACAUAAACUUUAAAUAUCAUUCUUAGCAUCAAAGCAACAAUAUAUUUAGUAUGCUUCAAUCAUUCCCAAGGAGAAAGAUACUGGAAAAUGUGGUUUGAAGUGUAAAUUUAUAGAGCAGAGUCAUAACCGACAGUUAAUAUAGCUGAGUUGGCAGCAAGCAUUCCUGGACCUGUCUCUCCAAUCACAGAGUACCCAGGGACACAGGCAUUUACACACGGACUCCGGGAGCUUGUGCAAUGUGAUACCAACUGCAGUUCUCUUCAUGAACAUAACCUCAGAACCGAAAGGCUUAUAGGUGGAAGAAACAUGUCUUGAGUCUCAGAUAAGACUUGCGGCUUUGGACUUUGAGUUCACACUGGAACCAAUUAAGACUUUGAGGAAGACUAUUAGGAAGGGAUGAUUGUAUUUUGCAUUGCGAGAAGGACAUGAGAUUUGGGGGACCAGAGGCAGAAUGAUAUACUUCGGAUGUUUGUCUUCUCCAAAUCUCAUGUUGAAAUGUGAUCCCCAAUGUUGGAAGUGAAGCCUGGUGGGAGGUGUUAGGGUCAUGGGGGCAGAUCUCUCAUGAAUGGCUUGGUGCCUACCCCACAAUAAUAAGUGGCAAUGAGUUUACAUGAGGUCUGGUUGUUUAAAAAGAGUGUGGCAUCUCUCCCCUCUCUCUCUCGUUCCCUUUCUCACCACGUGAUAGGUCUGCACACCCUUGGCCUUCUGCCAUGACUGGAAGCUUCCUUAGGCCCUUACCAGAAGCAGAUGCUAGCACCAUGCUUCCUGUACAGCCUGCAGAACUGUGAACCAAAAUAAACUUCUUUUCUUUAUAAAUUAU